UACAGGGGGGGCAAGCGUUGUUCGGAUUUACUGGGCGUAAAGAGCGCGCAGGCGGUCGUACAAGUCGCGUGUGAAAGCCCCCGGCUCAACUGGGGAGGGUCACGCAAUACUGUUCGACUCGAAGGCAGGAGAGGGUAGUGGAAUUCCCGGUGUAGUGGUGAAAUGACGUAGAUAUCGGGAGGAACACCAGUGGCGAAGGCGACUACCUGGCCUGUUUCUUGACGCUGAGGCGCGAAAGCUAGGGAGCAAACGGG
rnacentral:rRNA from 1 species